GGUUCGAUCAUGGCUCAGAUUGAACGCUGGCGGGAUGCUACAUGCAAGUCGAACGGCAGCACGGACUUCGGUCUGGUGGCGAGUGGCGAACAGGUGAGUAAUGUAUCGGAACGUGCCUAGUAGCGGGGGAUAACUACGCGAAAGCGUAGCUAAUACCGCAUACGCCCUUCCAGGAAAGCGAGGCGGGCCUCGCACUAUUAGAGCAGCCGAUAUCGGAUUAGCUAGUUGGUGGGGUAACGGCUCACAAGGCAGCGAUCCGUAGCUGGUUUAGAGAGGACGACCAGCCACACUGGGACUGAGACACGGCCCAGACUCCUACGGGAGGCAGCAGUGGGGGAAUUUUGGACAAUGGGGGAAACCCUGAUCCAGCCAUCCCGCGUGUGCGAUGAAGGCCUUCCGGGUUGUAAAGCACUUUUGGCAGGAAAGAAACGGCACGGGAUAAUACCCCGUGCAACUGACAGUACCUGCAGAAUAAGCACCGGCUAACUACGUGCCAGCAGCCGCGGUGAUGUACGUAGGUGCAAGCGUUAAUCGGAAUUACUGGGCGUAAAGCGUGCGCAGGCGGUUCGGAAGAAGAUGUGAAAUCCCAGAGCUUAACUUUGGAACUGCAUUUUUAACUACCGAGCUAGAGUGUGUCAGAGGGAGGUGGAAUUCCGCGUGUAGCAGUGAAAUGCGUAGAUAUGCGGAGGAACACCGAUGGCAGAAGGCAGCCUCCUGGGAUAACACUGACGCUCAUGCACGAAAGCGUGGGAGCAAACAGGAUUAGAUACCCUGGUAGUCCACGCCCCUAAACGAUGUCAACUAGCUGUUGGGGCCUUCGGGCCUUGGUAGCGCAACUAACGCGUGAGUUGACCGCCUGGGAGUACGGUCGCAAGAUUAAACUCAAGGAAUUGACGGGGACCCGCACAAGCGGUGGAUGAUGUGGAUUAAUUCGAUGCAACGCGAAAAACCUUACCUACCCUUGACAUGUCUGGAAUCCCGAAGAGAUUUGGGAGUGCUCGCAAGAGAACCGGAACACAGGUGCUGCAUGGCUGUCGUCAGCUCGUGUCGUGAGAUGUUGGGUUAAGUCCCGCAGCGAGCGCAACCCUUGUCAUUAGUUGCUACGAAAGGGCACUCUAAUGAGACUGCCGGUGACAAACCGGAGGAAGGUGGGGAUGACGUCAAGUCCUCAUGGCCCUUAUGGGUGAGGGCUUCACACGUCAUACAAUGGUCGGGACAGAGGGUCGCCAACCCGCGAGGGGAGCCAAUCCCAGAAACCCGAUCGUAGUCCGGAUCGCAGUCUGCAACUCGACUGCGUGAAGUCGGAAUCGCUAGUAAUCGCGGAUCAGCAUGUCGCGGUGAAUACGUUCCCGGAUACUUGUACACCGCCCGUCACACCAUGGGAGUGGGUUUUACCAGAAGUAGUUAGCCUAACCGUAAGGAGGGCGAUUACCACGGUAGGAUUCAUGACUGGGGGUGAAGUCGUAACGAGAGUAG
rnacentral:rRNA from 1 species